GACGAACGCUGGCGGCGUGCUUAACACAUGCAAGUCGAGCGGAAAGGCCACUUCGGUGGUACUCGAGCGGCGAACGGGUGAGUAACACGUGAGUAAUCUGCCCCUGGCUUUGGGAUAGCCACCGGAAACGGUGAUUAAUACCGGAUACGACCACUUCUCGCAUGGGAUGGUGGUGGAAAGUUUUUUCGGCCAGGGAUGUGCUCGCGGCCUAUCAGCUUGAUGGUGAGGUAAUGGCUCACCAUGGCUUCGACGGGUAGCCGGCCUGAGAGGGUGACCGGUCACACUGGGACUGGGACACGGCCCAGGCUGCUACGGGAGGCAGCAGUGGGGAAUAUUGGACAAUGGGCGGAAGCCUGAUCCAGCAACGCCGCGUGAGGGAUGACGGCCUUCGGGUUGUAAACCUCUUUCAGCAGGGACGAAGCGCAAGUGACGGUACCUGCAGAAGAAGCACCGGCCAACUACGUGCCAGCAGCCGCCGUAA
rnacentral:rRNA from 1 species